CGACCGGCGCACGGGUGAGUAACACGUAUCCAACCUGCCGUCUACUCUUGGACAGCCUUCUGAAAGGAAGAUUAAUACAAGAUGGCAUCAUGAGUCCGCAUGUUCACAUGAUUAAAGGUAUUCCGGUAGACGAUGGGGAUGCGUUCCAUUAGAUAGUAGGCGGGGUAACGGCCCACCUAGUCUUCGAUGGAUAGGGGUUCUGAGAGGAAGGUCCCCCACAUUGGAACUGAGACACGGUCCGAACUCCUACGGGAGGCAGCAUG
rnacentral:rRNA from 1 species